rnacentral:rRNA from 1 species
GUUGCGGUUAAAAAGCUCGUAGUUGGAUCUCGGCGGGCAGGGGGUGGUUCGCUCUUCAGCGCUACUGCCCCGCUUUGCCCGUGUGAUUGGCGGAGGUUUCGGGGUGCUCUUCGUUGAGUGACUCGGAGCGCCGUCAGGUUUACUUUGAAAAAAUUAGAGUGCUCAAAGCAGGCUUUUCACGCUUGAAUAUUCGUGCAUGGAAUAAUGGAAUAGGAACUCGUUUCUAUUUUGUUGGUUUUCGGAAAUCGAGUUAAUGAUUAACAGGGACAAUUGGGGGCAUUAGUAUUCAGACGACAGAGGUGAAAUUCUUGGACCGUCUGAAGGCUGACUACUGCGAAAGCAUUUGCCAAGAGUGUUUUCAUUAAUCAAGAACGAAAGUUAGAGGUUCGAAGGCGAUCAGAUACCGCCCUAGUUCUAACCAUAAACGAUGCCA